GACGAACGCUGGCGGCGUGCUUAACACAUGCAAGUCGAACGGACAGGCCCUGCUUUUGUGGGGUGCUCGAGUGGCGAACGGGUGAGUAACACGUGAGUAACCUGCCCUUGACUUUGGGAUAACUUUAGGAAACUGGGGCUAAUACCGGAUAGGAGCUCCUGCUGCAUGUUGGGGGUUGGAAAGUUUCGGCGGUUGGGGAUGGACUCGCGGCUUAUCAGCUUGUUGGUGGGGUAGUGGCUUACCAAGGCUUUGACGGGUAGCCGGCCUGAGAGGGUGACCGGCCACAUUGGGACUGAGAUACGGCCCAGACGCCUACGGGAGGCAGCAGUGGGGAAUAUUGCACAAUGGGCGGAAGCCUGAUGCAGCAACGCCGCGUGCGGGAUGACGGCCUUCGGGUUGUAAACCGCUUUCGCCUGUGACGAAGCGUGAGUGACGGUAAUGGGUAAAGAAGCACCGGCUAACUACGUG
rnacentral:rRNA from 1 species